AGGACGAACGCUGGCGGCGUGCUUAACACAUGCAAGUCGAACGGAAAGGCCCUUUCGGGGGUGCUCGAGUGGCGAACGGGUGAGUAACACGUGGGUGAUCUGCCCUGCACUUUGGGAUAAGCCUGGGAAAACUGGGUCUAAUACCGAAUACACCUUGCUGGCUGCAUGGCUGGUGGGGGAAAGCUUUUGCGGUGUGGGAUGGGCCCGCGGCCUAUCAGCUUGUUGGUGGGGUGAUGGCCUACCAAGGCGACGACGGGUAGCCGGCCUGAGAGGGUGUCCGGCCACACUGGGACUGAGAUACGGCCCAGACUCCUACGGGAGGCAGCAGUGGGGAAUAUUGCACAAUGGGCGCAAGCCUGAUGCAGCGACGCCGCGUGAGGGAUGACGGCCUUCGGGUUGUAAACCUCUUUCAGUAUCGACGAAGCGCAAGUGACGGUAGGUACAGAAGAAGCACCGGCCAACUACGUGCCAGCACGCCGC
rnacentral:rRNA from 1 species